UACCUAAUGAACAGUUUUUUAAGUGUUAACUGUAAACCUGUUAAUUAUCCCAACCAUACGCUAUGAGUAUAUACCCCUGCGAUCAUGACCAUACGCGUAUGGUCUAAAUACUCAUAUAGUCCGGAAUAUAUAGAUGUGUACAUAAACAUGCCUUGGUUUUUUUUCAUAAAUGUAGUUAAAGCAAGUAUGAAAAUAUUGUAUUUUGUGUAUUUACAACAUAUAUAUAAGCACUCAGUUUAGUUUCAUUUAAAUAAAAAUUUAAGAAAAAAUUACCGUACAAUUAUGAAAUACACUCCAAUUAAAACACAUAUUAGAAUAUAAGACACAAUCAAGAACAAAACAUCUAGUCCAUGACUUACAUUCUGCCAUGUAACAUUAACAUCGGCGGAACAAUGUAUUCCCGGCUUUUCACAGGAAACAGUUUCUGUUGUGAUUUUAUUGUGUGUCUUGCUCCAAGGAAGGCGUAAUCCAAUGAACUUCCAAACAGCGUUUUUUU
rnacentral:lncRNA from 1 species